rnacentral:rRNA from 1 species
UGCAAGUCGAGGGGCAGCGGGGCGGUCAGCUUGCUGAACGCCGCCGGCGACCGGCGCACGGGUGAGUAACACGUAUGCAACCUGCCCGCCACAGGGGAAUAACCGGGAGAAAUCCCGACUAGUACCGCGUAGACCUGAUCGAGGCAUCUCGAUUGGGGGAAAGCUUCGGCGGUGGCGGAUGGGCAUGCGGCGCAUUAGCUAGUUGGCGGGGUAACGGCCCACCAAGGCGACGAUGCGUAGGGGUUCUGAGAGGAAGGUCCCCCACAUUGGUACUGAGACACGGACCAAACUCCUACGGGAGGCAGCAGUGAGGAAUAUUGGUCAAUGGGCGGAAGCCUGAACCAGCCAAGUCGCGUGAGGGAAGACGGUCCUACGGAUUGUAAACCUCUUUUGUCGGGGAGCAAAGAGGCCACGAGUGGCAAGAUGAGCGUACCCGAAGAAAAAGCAUCGGCUAACUCCGUGCCAGCAGCCGCGGUAAUACGGAGGAUGCGAGCGUUAUCCGGAUUUAUUGGGUUUAAAGGGUGCGCAGGCGGUUCAUCAAGUCAGCGGUAAAAAUUCGGGGCUCAACCCCGUCCUGCCGUUGAAACUGACGAGCUGGAGUGCGACAGAGGAAUGCGGAAUGCGAGGUGUAGCGGUGAAAUGCAUAGAUAUCGCGCAGAACUCCGAUUGCGAAGGCAGCGUUCCAUGUCGUAACUGACGCUCAGGCACGAAAGCGUGGGGAUCGAACAGGAUUAGAUACCCUGGUAGUCCACGCAGUAAACGAUGAAUACUAGCUGUUCGGGGCGAAUGAGUCUUGAGCGGCACAGCGAAAGCGUUAAGUAU